CCCCUUCUCAUUACAGAGAUGCACAUCACCUAAUAUGUUUAAUUGGUAGUAGGCUUUCGAGCCUAUACAGCUUGGAGUAAGACAACAUGCAUAAAGAGGAUGAUGUGGUCAAAAUACUCAUUUGCCUAAUAAUUCUGCACUCCCUGUAUAACAGAGAAAUUCUCGUGUAUAUUUUGUAAAGUUGGUGUGUGCUAUUCCUGUACAAAGUUUUAUUUUGUGUUCAGUUACA